UACGUAGGGGGCGAGCGUUAUCCGGAUUUAUUGGGCGUAAAGCGCGCGCAGGCGGUCUGGUAAGUCGGAUGUGAAAGGCUACGGCUCAACCGUAGAGCGGCAUCCGAAACUGUUUGACUUGAGUGCAGGAGAGGAGAGUGGAAUUCCCGGUGUAGCGGUGGAAUGCGUAGAGAUCGGGAGGAACACCAGUGGCGAAGGCGACUCUCUGGACUGUAACUGACGCUGAGGCGCGAAAGCGUGGGGAGCAAACAGG
rnacentral:rRNA from 1 species